GGGAGAGAGGGCUAUAAAGGCAGUCAUUAGAGGCAGAGCCAAGCUCUUCAGCAACUUCAACUCACAUGCUAAUUUAUUCUCCCUUUGGACAAAUGGUUUGUCUCCUUCAUACACAUUUCUACUCUUUGUUGGAUUUGCCAAUGAACAGCUCUUGCUAAGGCAACUGGGUAUCAUACACAACACUGUCAUUUUCUUUUGGCUUUGUGAAGGCUUCUUCUUCUUCUUC
rnacentral:misc_RNA from 1 species